rnacentral:rRNA from 1 species
UACGGGAGGGUGCAAGCGUUUAAUCGGAAUUACUGGGCGUAAAGCGUGCGUAGGCGGUUCGUUAAGUCUCGUUGUGAAAGCCCCGGGCUCAACCUGGGAAUGGCAAUGGAUACUGGCGAGCUGAGAGUGUGUCAGAGGAUGGUGGAAUUCCCGGUGUAGCGGGUGAAAUGCGUAGAGAUCGGGGGGAACAUCAGUGGCGAAGGCGGC